rnacentral:rRNA from 1 species
UACGGGAGGCAGCAGUGGGGAAUAUUGCACAAUGGGCGAAAGCCUGAUGCAGCUAUGCCGCGUGUAUGAAGAAGGCCUUAGGGUUGUAAAGUACUUUCAUCGGGGAGGAAAAAACAAAACUAAUAAUUUUAUUUCUUGACGUUACCCGAAAAAGAAGCACCGGCUAACUCCGUGCCAGCAGCCGCGGUAAUACGGAGGGUGCUAGCGUUAAUCAGAAUUACUGGGCGUAAAGAGCACGUAGGUGGUUUUUUAAAGUCAGAUGUGAAAUCCCUGGGCUUUAACCUAGGAACUGCAUUUUGAAACUGAAAUACUAGAGUAUCGUAGAGGGAGGUAGAAUUCUAGGUGUAGCGGUGAAAUGCGUAGAUAUCUGGAGGAAUACCUGUGGCGAAAGCGGCCUCCUAAACGAAUACUGACACUGAGGGUGCGAAAGCGUGGGGAGCAAACAGGGAUUAGAUACC